UGGGGAAUAUUGCACAAUGGGGGAAACCCUGAUGCAGCGACGCCGCGUGAGCGAAGAAGGUUUUCGAAUCGUAAAGCUCUGUCCUAUGGGAAGAUAAUGACGGUACCAUAGGAGGAAGCCCCGGCUAACUACGUGCCAGCAGCCGCGGUAAUACGUAGGGUACUAGCGUUGUCCGGAUUUAUUGGGCGUAAAGGGCUUGUAGGUGGUUUGUCGUGUCUGUCGUGAAAUCCUGUGGCUUAACCAUGGGCUUGCGGUGGGUACGGGCAGGCUUGAGUGCGGUAGGGGAGACUGGAAUUCCUGGUGUAGCGGUGGAAUGCGCAGAUAUCAGGAGGAACACCGGUGGCGAAGGCGGGUCUCUGGGCCGUUACUGACACUGAGGAGCGAAAGCGUGGGGAGCGAACAGG
rnacentral:rRNA from 1 species